CCUACGGGUGGCUGCAGUGAGGAAUAUUGGUCAAUGGGCGGGAGCCUGAACCAGCCAAGCCGCGUGAGGGAAGAAGGUACAGCGUAUCGUAAACCUCUUUUGUCAGGGAACAAAGGCGGGGACUAGUCCCCAGAUGAAGGUACCUGAAGAAAAAGCAUCGGCUAACUCCGUGCCAGCAGCCGCGGUAAUACGGAGGAUGCGAGCGUUAUCCGGAUUUAUUGGGUUUAAAGGGUGCGCAGGCGGCCUUUUAAGUCAGCGGUGAAAGCCCGGGGCUCAAACCCGGGGGAGCCGUUGAAACUGGCGGGCUGGAGUGGGAGUGAGGCAGGCGGAAUGCGCGGUGUAGCGGUGAAAUGCUUAGAUAUCGCGCAGAACCCCGAUUGCGAAGGCAGCGUACC
rnacentral:rRNA from 1 species